AUAAAUAAUGAUGACUAUUAUUACCGCCCCAGUCUGAUUAACUGGUGACUGAUUGGUUUGUUUCUGACCUUAA
rnacentral:snoRNA from 1 species